GGCAUGGCAGCUGAGUGGGUAAAGCACUUAUAUCUUACUCGGUACCGAAGGUCAAUGGUUCGAUUCCAUUCUGCGGCA